AUUGAACGCUGGCGGCAGGCCUAACACAUGCAAGUCGAGCGGAGCGGCGGACGGGUGAGUAAUGCCUAGGAAUCUGCCUGGUAGUGGGGGAUAACGUCCGGCAACGGGCGCUAAUACAGCAUACUAUAAGCUUAGGCGAGGUAGGAUUAGCUAAUUGGUGGGGUACAGGCCUACCAAGGCGACGAUCCGUAACUGUUCGUAGAGGAUGAUCAGUCACACUGGAACUGAGACACGGUCCAGACUCCUACGGGAGGCAGCAGUGGGGAAUAUUGGACAAUGGGCGAAAGCCUGAUCCAGCCAUGCCGCGUGUGUGAAGAAGGUCUUCGGAUUGUAAAGCACUUUAAGUUGGGAGGCGUUACCAACAGAAUAAGCACCGGCUAACUUCGUGCCAGCAGCCGCGGUAAUAC
rnacentral:rRNA from 1 species